GGUGUUUGAACAAAAGAUACAACAAAAGGAUAAGAGAACUAAACAAAGAAAAUGACUGGAAAUAAUAAAAGACUGAAACUUGCAUUAGACUAACGGUGUAACGGUUCGAAUAACAAAGUAAGCAAAACAAACCAGAGUACACCCUGAAACAAACUUGGACAAAACUAAAUAAACCAUUGUGGCAAAAAUGGAAGGAUAAGAGGGUUUGACACAAGACAAUAUCCGUAUUACAAUCCUAAGAUUAAUCCAGACAACAGAAAUGACAACAAAAUGAACCACCAAAGCUUCACUCCGGCUGACCAAGAAUUGGAGCGUCUUUCCACUUACCGAGCGCGAUACCUUAGCCACUAAUUUGCUCAUCAGAUUCAGCAGUCUUCUCCAAUUUCAACAUCACUAUCUUCACUUAGAAAGUUCCCGAGAGGAUUCUCAUACUCCAUAUCAUCAUGCCUCAUGAUGUGCAGGUAAAGAAUUCUGCGCGAUAUUUUGGGUGUCACUGUCUUGGAUCACAAUCAGGUUUUCCUAGAUUCUGGUGUUUCCACCUUACCACAAACCAACCACCUCAACUUCUUUCACAAUUCGAAACAUGUUAGAAUGGACUCAGUCUGUCCUUAUUACUAUCAACAUUUUUCAC
rnacentral:lncRNA from 1 species